rnacentral:rRNA from 1 species
UCGGGAAUAUUGGACAAUGGGCGAAAGCCUGAUCCAGCCAUGCCGCGUGUGUGAAGAAGGUCUUCGGAUUGUAAAGCACUUUAAGUUGGGAGGAAGGGCAGUUACCUAAUACGUGAUUGUUUUGACGUUACCGACAGAAUAAGCACCGGCUAACUCUGUGCCAGCAGCCGCGGUAAUACAGAGGGUGCAAGCGUUAAUCGGAAUUACUGGGCGUAAAGCGCGCGUAGGUGGUUAGUUAAGUUGGAUGUGAAAUCCCCGGGCUCAACCUGGGAACUGCAUUCAAAACUGACUGACUAGAGUAUGGUAGAGGGUGGUGGAAUUUCCUGUGUAGCGGUGAAAUGCGUAGAUUAUAGGAAGGAACACCAGUGGCGAAGGCGACCACCUGGACUGAUACUGACACUGAGGUGCGAAAGCGUGGGGAGCAAACAGGAUUAGAUACCCAUGUAGUCCCUGAGCGGGCUGGCAAGGCGCAU